CCUACGGGAGGCAGCAGUGAGGAAUAUUGGUCAAUGGACGAGAGUCUGAACCAGCCAAGUAGCGUGAAGGAUGACUGCCCUAUGGGUUGUAAACUUCUUUUAUAAAGGAAUAAAACGAGGCACGUGUGCCUUUUUGCAUGUACUUUAUGAAUAAGGAUCGGCUAACUCCGUGCCAGCAGCCGCGGUAAUACGGAGGAUCCGAGCGUUAUCCGGAUUUAUUGGGUUUAAAGGGAGCGUAGAUGGGUUGUUAAGUCAGUUGUGAAAGUUUGCGGCUCAACCGUAAAAUUGCAAUUGAUACUGGCAGUCUUGAGUACAGUUGAGGUAAGCGGAAUUCGUGGUGUAGCAGUGAAAUGCUUAGAUAUCACGAAGAACCCCGAUUGCGAAGGCAGCUUACUAAACUGUGACUGACAUUGAUGCUCGAAAGUGUGGGUAUCAAACAGGAUUAGAUACCCGUGUAGUC
rnacentral:rRNA from 1 species